ACAGAAUCGGAGUUACAGCUGGAUGUGGAAAAAAUAACUGAGUUGUUUGGUGGUGCUAUAACGCGGAGCUACAACAGUGGGCAGCUAUCCACCGGUGUAUGACAGAAAGGACAUGCCGCGACCGCCGAUCGACCGGUGUUUGCUAACGCGGAGGUCAAUCGUGGAUCAGGGAAAGCGAAGGCAGGAGCGUGAGGUGAACUGAAUUUCAGGUAAGAAGUUAUGAACUGCACUCUAUUUGGGUCAGAUAUAAACAGAGUUUAGGUGUAGUUUAUUUUCGUUGUGCUGACUUUUUCAAUCACUUACAAUAACUCGUACUGCGUUCUAGCUAGCACGACGGAGUUUCUAUACAGCUGUGUGCGCAUGUUGAACUUUAUGACAGCCUCCCCUGUCAUUCUCUCGCCUGUUGAAACUUCAGUCAUGAAACUGAUCAAUGAUCGGCGUUUCUCUCUUGUUUGUUUAUCGCGCAAAACAACAGCAGCACGUUUAAGCUUGAUCAGCUGUUGUUAGAAUUCAUUUGCUUUUAAUUUCUGGUAUCAGCUGAUGU
ensembl:lncRNA